rnacentral:rRNA from 1 species
GAUGAACGCUGGCGGCGUGCCUAAUACAUGCAAGUCGAGCGAACGGACGAGAAGCUUGCUUCUCUGAUGUUAGCGGCGGACGGGUGUGUAACACGUGGAUAACCUACCUAUAAGACUGGGAUAACUUCGGGAAACCGUAGCUAAUACCGGAUAAUAUUUUGAACCGCAUGGUUCAAAAGUGAAAGACGGUCUUGCUGUCACUUAUAGAUGGAUCCGCGCUGCAUUAGCUAGUUGGUAAGGUAACGGCUUACCAAGGCAACGAUGCCUAGCCGACCUGAGAGAGUGGUCGGCCACACUGGAACUGAGACACGGUCCAGACUCCUACGGGAGGCAGCAGUAGGGAAUCUUCCGCAAUGGGCGAGAGCCUUACGGAGCAACGCCGCGUGAGUGAUGAAGGUCUUCGGAUCGUAAAACUCUGUUAUUAGGGAAGAACAUAUGUGUAAGUAACUGUGCACAUCUUGACGGUACCUAAUCAGAAAGCCACGGCUAACUACGUG